rnacentral:rRNA from 1 species
ACAGUGGACGCGAGCAUCUUUGUUGUAAGUGUUUAAGAGCGUACGGUGGAUGCCUUGGCACCAGGAGCCGAUGAAGGACGUAGGAGGCUGCGAUAAGCCUCGGGGAGCUGUCAACCGAGCUGAGAUCCGAGGAUGUCCGAAUGGGGAAACCCAGCCACAGUGAUGUGUGGUUACCCGCGCCUGAAUAUAUAGGGCGUGAGGAGGGAACGUGGGGAAGUGAAACAUCUCAGUACCACAGGAAGAGAAAACACAACAUGUGAUUCCGUGAGUAGUGGCGAGCGAAAGCGGAAGAGGCUAAACCAUGGGUGUGUGAUAGCCGGCGGGCGUUGCAUUCGUGGGGUUGUGGGAUCCGUCUUGUCAAUUCUGCCGGAUUGGCCGACAGUGAGAAUCAUCGUGUUAGUCGAAGUGGUCUGGAACGGCCUGUCGUAGAGGGUGAGUCCCGUAGACGAAAACAUGGUGACUGUCGUGACGGACACCCGAGUAGCAGCGGGCCCGUGAAAUCUGCUGUGAAUCUGUCGGGACCACCC